rnacentral:rRNA from 1 species
UACAGAGGUGCCAAGCGUUAGGCGGAAUCACUGGGCUUAAAGCGCGUGUAGGUGGACGGGUAAGUAUCUUGUGAAAUCCCACGGCUCAACCGUGGAACUGCUGGAUAUACUGCUUGUCUUGAGGCACUUAGGGGCAGCUGGAACAAAUGGUGGAGCGGUGAAAUGCGUAGAUAUCAUUUGGAACGCCAAAGGCGAAAGCAGGCUGCUGGGAGUGAUCUGACACUGAGACGCGAAAGCCAGGGGAGCAAACGGGGUAGUAACGAAAGCCUA